CCCGAUCUCAUCUUCAGUGCUAGGGUUUGCCAUAACAUUUGCAGAAUGAUUCCUUCAUCGAAAGCUACUGAAAAAGAUUUAUCUGUCUCAACAAAAGAAAUCAACGGAGAAAAAGAACCUCUCCUUGAAGUUUUGGACAAAGAUUUCUCUGUCUCAACAAAAGAAGUCAACAGAGAAAAGGAACCUCUCCUUGAAGUUCUAG